CAAAUCAGGUAGGACUACCCGCUGAACUUAAGCAUAUCAAUAAGGCGGAGG
rnacentral:rRNA from 1 species